rnacentral:rRNA from 1 species
AUUGAACGCUGGCGGCAGGCCUAACACAUGCAAGUCGAGCGGAUGAAGGGAGCUUGCUCCUGGAUUCAGCGGCGGACGGGUGAGUAAUGCCUAGGAAUCUGCCUGGUAGUGGGGGAUAACUUCCGGAAACGGGCGCUAAUACCGCAUACGUCCUGAGGGAGAAAGUGGGGGAUCUUCGGACCUCACGCUAUCAGAUGUGCCUAGGUCGGAUUAGCUAGUUGGUGGGGUAAAGGCCUACCAAGGCGACGAUCCGUAACUGGUCUGAGAGGAUGAUCAGUCACACUGGAACUGAGACACGGUCCAGACUCCUACGGGAGGCAGCAGUGGGGAAUAUUGGACAAUGGGCGAAAGCCUGAUCAAGCCAUGCCGCGUGUGUGAAGAAGGUCUUCGGAUUGUAAAGAACUUUAAGUGGGGAGGAAGGGCAGUAAGUUAAUACCUUGCUGUUUUGACGUUACCAACAUAAUAAGCACCGGCUAACUUCGUG